rnacentral:rRNA from 1 species
CGGACGGGUGAGUAACGCGUGGAUAACCUGCCUCACACAGGGGAUAACAGUUAGAAAUGACUGCUAAUACCGCAUAAGCGCACGGUACCGCAUGGUACAGUGUGAAAAACUCCGGUGGUGUGAGAUGGAUCCGCGUCUGAUUAGGUAGUUGGUGAGGUAACGGCCCACCAAGCCGACGAUCAGUAGCCGACCUGAGAGGGUGACCGGCCACAUUGGGACUGAGACACGGCCCAA